AUGGCUGCCUUGAGGUGCUACUCUUCUACUGCUGCAAUCAUAGUCCCAAGGAGGAAGAUUUGUGCAAGAGCUUCCAUGGAUGGCUGCUCCAGUUCCGAAUCCAGGCGACGAGCUUCUAGUUCGGUCAGCUUCACCUGCAAGGUUUAUGAGGACAAAAACAUGGGCAUCCUCUGUUACACUGAUGAGACUGGUGAAUUGCUGUGCGAGGGCUUGGAUGAAGGCCCGAGACUAACGAGGCAAGAUAUUGAGAAAUUGACCCAAGAGAGAGAAUCGAAGAACACGGCAGAAGAUUGGCGGGAGAGAGCGCUGCGGAUCGCGGGCGGGAUCGACUGGAGCGGCCUCCAGUCUGCUGCUGCCACGGGGAAGAAGUGA
rnacentral:rRNA from 1 species